GACGCCACUUUCGUUCUUUGUUUUUUUCACGUCCGGGAUGUCACAUCCGCCCUUUCUUUUGGCGGUAUGGAAGGAACGAACAGACGCGGACAGCGCUACAGUGCUCUAACAGCGCCUAUAAAUAAGGGGCUUUAACCGCUGUCAGCCAGCCCGAGCCGCCGUUUAAGCUUCUGAGAAGCGCGCCCGCUCGACUUUCGGGAGAACACCACUCGACCAGCCACAGACCAGCGAGACAACGUGCGCCAACCUGCGGAUAGGCCCCGUCGUGUCACUCAGGUCGUCGGACUGUCGCAGUGCCAGCGGUCGCAACAUCUGGACCUUUGUCUUCAACUCCUAUGCUCCUGCCCUACGCUCCCGCUUCACCGCUGCCGUCCGCAAGCCAGCUUUCGAGAGGACUCGUUCUGCUGUUCCCUGGGAGACUCCAUUCUGGGCCUUCCUGUGCCUGGAGGAGACCUGCCUGGUGUGGUGCUACAGCGGUCAUCUGCUUCGACGACCCAACAUUGUGACACCAACCGACCAUGGUCAAGGGCACCAAUAAAAGCCAUGAGGAGGAGGUGUGGCGGCAGUACAAAGUGCAUGCAGAAGGAGCACGAGAAGGUGCGGCACUUCUAUGGUGACCACGCCAGUGCACUAUUUGAAUACUGGAAAAGUUAGAACUUUCCUGUUCUUGGAAGCUCAGCAGGUGAUGUGGUCACCCAAAAAUGCAACGCCAGUGAGACCUGGGCAGCAGUUGUACAGAGGUUAGUUUCUGCCCCCAUCCACCAGAGCAAGGAAACUGAAGUGGCAUCAAGGGUGGCAGAAUUGGACGCCGCAGUCGCAUACUCUGCCCUCUCGACAUGUGCAAGUGCAUACAUCACACCCUCGGUGAUUGCUGCGGCUCAGCGACCAGCAAACAGGCAUUCUGUGUGUGUGUGCGCUACAAGGUGCAAAAGGUUGUGCCUGCCAAUGUGCCACACCCCUCGCCUGCUGGUAAACAGCAGAUUCUAGCUGUAAGGUACUCAAGGCUCACAGCAUGGUGCAGUUACCAGAGAUGGCAGCUGCAGAGCAUUGCUGCAUGGCAUGUGAAGUGAUCCUCCAGUGAGAAGCUAAAGAACUUGGAGAGAGAGCAGUGAAAUAGCACCAGCCAACUUUUUCGAACCUCGCACAACAGAUCAGGCUGAACAAAACUGCGCAAGUUCACAGGUUUGCCAAGUUGCACUGAAGAAUGAAGAAACGGGUGUCACUUCAGCACGACAUGCCACCAAAAAGCAUCAGGUGAAAAAAAGCACUCCAUGUGCUCCUGCACUUGUGGGUGGUGCCUGGGUACACAAAGUGUGCAAGACUCCAGUUGUUGCUGCUGCUUCUAAAUCUGCCCUAGUUAAUAGCUACAGGAGGCUUCAACAAUGCAGUGUGGCACAGCUCUCAGAAUCUCUGCCCUCAGAGCAGUGCCACUUGGCAAGUGAAAGUCCUCCUGAAAUCGGAAGCUGAAGAGUACACGGAAAACUCUGAUGCUGUAAUAAAGCAAGGUAACUUAGAGGCACCUGAGAGACAGAAAAAUAGCUUUGGUCUUAAAGGCCAUGCUGCACUGCCACCGGAUCACAUGGCACAAUGUUCUGAAGUUGGCACUGUUAAAAACCAUAAGGUCUACAUGAAUGCCAGAAGUACAGUUUUACAGUCCACAGAAGAUUUUGUCUGUUGGAUGCUUGAACAUUCCAAUGCUGUAUCGCUGGCCAAAAGCACUGCAGAAAAACAAAUAAGCACACAGUCAGCAGCUGAAACUUUAGUUCAAAGCAGGGAAGUAGUAAGUAUUACCAGCUACUCCAUGCCUUAUGGAAGCUUUGCGGAGACAACUGCCAAAGUGACCAUACAAGAUAGCCCUCCAUUGGGUUGCAGCAAGAGAGCUAAAGGUCACCGUAGGAAAAAAUGUAAGCUUGUGAGAUCGACACAGGGCUGUAAUCUCAAAGGGGAGGAAGUCUUUCUAUAGGUAGCAAGUUCAGCAACUAGAAACAAUUUUCAGCUAGCUAUGAGGAAUGGAAAAAUAACGCGUUCCAUCCCAUGUGUAUCUCAAGGUCAGAUAAGAAUCCAUUUUGCUUUGACAAAGAUAUUAACGAAGCAGAAUUUCCAUACAUACGUGUUACUUUUGCCUGUUGCCAUUCAGGGUACCCAAGUUCAAGAGGGCAGAGUAUUUGUCCAAACCAACACUUCAAUAGAACGGGUUGCAAAGUUGAACUGAAACUUGUACUACGUUCUACACCACAACCAUUCUAUGAAAUUGUGAAUAUGACAGAGGCUCAUAACCUUAAAAGAGGUCCCGAAGUUCUCAUGUGGUACAGAAUGAAUCGUAUGUAUUAACUCCAUCGGAGAAAGACCAACUAAGAGAAAUGAUUUCUUAUAAUGCAAAUUCCAAAGAUAUAAAGGAAGUUAUUCUAAAGAAAACGAAAAAGCACAUUACUUCACAGGACGUGAGAAACCUAAAGCAUGCACUAGUUCAAAAGAUAGAAGACAGCACACAUCAUGGAGCGCUCCUUCUGCAGGAAAUAGACAGAUUAUUUUCUGAAACUGCAGGAUGGAAACUCCAUGCUGAAAAAAAAUUCACAGAAUGAUCUUCUGUACAUUAUGUUACAGUCGCAGCAUAUGGCUCAAUUAGACGAAAAGUAUCCAGAGGUAUUGUUCUUUGAUGGAACCUAUAACCUUAACAGAGAAGUGUGUGUGUGUUACAUUGUGUUCUGUGUGAAGAUGGAAGUAGUCAUGGCAGACCUAUAUGUUAUGCCGUUGUCCAGCGAGAAACAUCUGAAAUUCUAAAAUCCUUCCUUGAAACAUUUCUGAACUUAAACCCUGCUAUAAAGGCUAAGUGUAAAGUUGCUGUGAUGGACAAGGACUUAAAGGAAAUGAACAUAGUUACGCAACUCUUGCCUGACUGUAGGAUUCUAUUAUGUUCAUGGCAUGUGCUAAAAUAUCUCCACUACGAAGUUCACAACAUAGUUAAAUAGCCUAGACAAGAAUAAUGUAAAAGAUACAAUUUCCAAACUAGUAUUUGCACAUAAUGUUGACAUAUAUGAACAACACUCACUAAAUUUGAAAGAAGCCCUAAAGAAUGACAGCGCUCUACUGGAUUAUUUUUAUAAAAACUGGCACAGCUGCAAAAAUAUCGUUCUUAUUGUUCAGAUAAAAUGCUUAUCGUUCAGAUGUGUACAGUUUAGGAAAUAAUACUAAUAAUAGAAUGGAAAGCCACUACCAAAAGCUAAAGAAAUAUUUAAGACGAGGAAUGCACUUAGUUAAAGCUGUGAAAGCUCUCAUAGAUUAGGCAACUCGCAAUGCCCUUGCAGUCAGUCAUGCGCAAUAUAAAGAAACCAAGUUUUGCGUCAACACAAUUAAAGUGAGCAAUUUUUACAUGGAAAUGUCUACAAUAUAUACACAGUAUGCUAGGAAAUUGGUUUGUAAAGAAUAUGAAACAUUCCUACAAAAUCCUGGAACAUGUUCAGUGUCUGAUGAUCAGCAUGUUGUUUCUGUGAACAAUAAAUGUUGUGUAGUCACAAAGAGGAUGGCAAUGUGCACAUGUACAUUUAACAUGCAGUAUGGGCUGCCUUGCAGGUAUAUUCUUGCAGCCAGGUCAAAGCAAAACGAAAAUCUUUUUGAUAAUGUAUUCCACAACGCUGGCUCAAAUCUGACUUUGUGGAGACUGAAAUGGAUGAGCCACAAGAUGAAGAGAACAUUUUAACUUUGAGUGUAGUGAAAAAAGCAGAGCCAAAGCUUGAUACAUUAGAAUCCAAAUAUAAAUGUGCAUAUGCACAUCUCGUAGAAAUAUCAAAAGGGGCUGCAACUGCAAUGGCGCAGUAUAGCAAAAGUAAGCUGGAGGAAAAACUAGCUGAGUGCGAGAACUUUUUUCACAACCUUAUAACCUAUGGCACAAAUAAGAAAGAACUUUCUAGUUUCACUGAAACAGUACAGAGCAGUGAACAAGAAGUGACAAGCUUGCAAGGGGUAACCAUCUUGCAGGGUGAGGCAGAAAGACAUGAUAGCAUUCCAGUGUCAUCUGCAGAAGAACACAUAACAGCGAGUGAUUACUGUACUGAUGAAUUACAAAGCGAACAAAAUGUAGAUUUGCUAAUAGCUUCAAAUUAUCACGCAAUAUGUCAGGCUACCACAACAGCAACUAAUACUGCACAGCAGGCAACAGUGCUCACCAUUCCUCUUGUAGAAUCGGCUGGUGGUCGACCACAUAAGAAAAGGACAGUGCUUAAUACAAAGCAGUCGGAAAAAAAAGAGAUGUCUAGCUGUUACAAACAGCUCUAGUGUGGGACAGCAAGCCUCACUGCAACAUGUCAAAUGUAAAACAGUGUUCUCACGUAACAAUGCAAUUACACAGGCUAUCUGUGGUUCUUCUACUUGCAACACUUACAAGGUCACUCCCUCCGAACUAAAUGCUUUGCAAGGCACAGGUUGGUUGUCAGAUGCAAUCGUGAAUGCAGCACACUUCAUUAUUUCUCGGCAAUCUCCUGACGGAUGCAAAUUUCAGGAUGUUCUGCUUGGGCAGAAACUGAAGUUCAAGAAGCAAAGUACCUUUGUCCAAAUUCUACACAUUCCAAAUCUUGGGCACUGGGUCACAGUGACAAAUUACGGAGCCCCAGAAGACCAUCUUCCUGCAUGAUUCACUUGAUUGUUACUUAGCAUAGUGCACCAGGUAAUGAAUAUAAUGAAUCUCUCUUCAAGCUAUCUAGAUGUGGAUGCAAAAGCAGCACAAUUCCAAGGGAAUGGCUAUCACUGUGGCAUUUUUUGCUAUUGCAAAUGCAUACUACUCCAUUGCAUCUGGUGCUGACCCGUGCUCAGUUAGUUUCGACAAGUGCCUAAUGCGUUGGCACAUUAUAACAAGUCUAGCAGAUGGUCAAAUUUCGCCGUUCCCUUUAGCUACAUUGCUAAUUUCAAGAGUGAAGCCAAAGUGGAGUCGCAUUGUUAAAAAAAAUAAAAAUCUGCCUCGUAUGAGAAACAUCAAGAGUAAUAGGAUUGAUAGUUGGGCGAGUUGGUACGGUAACAUAAUUUUGUUGCAGCACAAAUGGAUGAAGACACAGACAACAUACACAAGACAAUCGAGCACUGACUUUCAAUUGGAAGGUUUUAUUGAAAAAGAUUGUAUAUGAGUGAUAGCAAUUAAGACACGUAGAAUCCAAAGGAAGACGUGGUGAAACAAGAAUAUGAAGGUUAACAAAGCAUCAAAGUUAAAAGAAAGCCAAAUUCAAACAUUAAAAUCUUCCGGAAAAAGAAAACAAAACCAGAAAGGCAAAAAAAAAAAUUAUGUAACAGAUUAUGUAUUGUGAGCACACGUACUAAGCAGAUAUGCGUAUUCAUUGUCUGACAACAAAACUGAAGCCUGGCUCACGCAUGCGUCUCUCAUUCUUUUAAUAUGAAAAGCUCCGAUUAUUUUGCGAGUUCUUUAGUAUCUAUGUCUAGAAAGGACCUCUGUACCUACCAACAUAGGUGUACAGCUGCAUGUGUGACAGUGUGGCAAUAUAUGUGAUGCACUAGACUUCUUUAAAUAUUUAUUGUGGUUGAAUAUUGAGGCAUCUGCUACUCUGUCCGAGAUACGAUUUUCCACAUGUGAGUGAAAUCUGAUGAACAAUCCCAGUCUCGCAAAGUACAACCAUUGACAAGUGCUUUGUGUUGCAACCACAUUGUCUAUUAUUACACCACUCUAGUUUCCUUCUAGUGAGUGGGUAAAUCCUUGACAGCUUCUCCUAAGCUGAGAACACUGUGUUUACGCCAUAUCUAGUGGCAACAUUUCUCAAGCAAUGUGACAAGUUGUGAAUGUACGGCACCACAGCAAACCUUUUUCCUUUUUGUUUAUUUUCCUGUUCACUUGUACUAACCUGACUUUUUAUCCCUUUUCAAAACUUCUCACAAGUUCUGGACAGCGCUUGACUGGGAAAAUCAGCUUGCUUUAGCCUCUCGAUCUUCUGCAAGAAACUUGGCUGCAUGAAUUACAUGUACAUGACUUUGUUUCAGCUCAUCUGAGAGCUGAAUGUGCUAUCCCUUGCUUUACGACUUUUGACUGACUAAAAUAAAGAUCAAGCAGUGGUUUCCUAUAGACCUAGGGAAGUAACACCAACAAACAUGAUCAGAUGCCACAUGUGCCUCAUUUUAGAACCCCAUCUAGUUCAAACAUGAAUAUUUAGCGUAGAUCUAAUUCUAACAUUUUCUUUAAAUCAGUUACACAUCUAUUUAAAGACCCUUUCUGCUUUUCACUAGUAAUUAAACAGGGACAUUAGGAUUAGAUGAGCGCUAGAUGUUCAUGUUUGAAAACGAUCGUGUUCAAAUAUGAACAUCUAGCAAACAUCCAAUUCUAAUGACUCUGUUUAAUUACAAGUGAAAAGCAGGAAGGGUCUUUAAACAGGCAUUAAACAGAUUUAAAGAAAAUGCAUUACAUUUAACGAUUGCAAAAACUUAGUACUGGUUGCCAAUGUGAGCCAAAUUUGAUUGUGGCAUAAUUUGAAGUGUAGAAAAUAAUAGGAAUGAAAAAUUAACACAAAACGUGACAAAGCUAAUUUCGUAACAAAGAUUUAUAUUGAAAUCCUACAAGUUGUACUUGAUAAAACCAUCAAAGUGAUGAAAUACGACUUAUUCACAUGAAUUGUUCUAACAUUUGGCAAAUACUACUUUUAUUCUAAAAGCUCAUGCAACAAGACAGAUCAUUGUAAGCUAUAAUUCAACACAUUUAUUUCCUAGCUGUUAUACAUUUUAUUACACAGAAAUUUUCAGCUUGCCAAUGAAAUUUUAAUCAUUUAAGACAGAUUUGGAGACCUACUAAGCAGACAUUUUUGUUUAUAUUAAACAAAUUUCACUGAAUUCAUCUCGGCAGUAUCCUACGAGAGUACUUCCUAGUUUACAUGUCUGAAAGCACAGACAUAUGGGUCUGGCUUGAUGUGAGGGUGAACUUUGGCUGUCAAAUGCCUUGAUUAAACAAUUAUUGCACCAAAUUGGGGGAAACUUGAUCAAAAAUAAAAGUUUCAUUGUAAAAGCAGAACGUUUAUAUAGACCUUCAGUUUGCUUGAAUAAUUCUAAAAAAAUUUCAGGUUAUGUAAGCUAGCUAAUAGCAGAAAUAACAUUCACUUUAUGCUUAUGUUAAUAAUUUAAUGUUAAUGUUAAUAUUACAACAUUUAACAUUAAUAUUACAACAUGUGAAUAUUAUUAACAUUAACAAUGAUGUUAAUAAUUACCAGAUCAGAUGUAAGACUACUAUUUUUGGAUAAUUACUCUUUUUUAUGCAUUCGUGCUGCACAACAAUAGCAUAUGAGAACUGCCCAGAAAGUAUGCUCUAAUAAAUUUUUCAGUGAAAAGAAAUGUGUCCCUAUAUUACAGUGAUGCAUAGGCUACUUCUUCUAAUGUGACAAUGUAUGCUUUUUUAGGAAUUCUCCAUAGCGCAGUAUAAAGUUUUGUAUGUCGGUGGUCAGUGUCAUGCUAUCAGCCAAGAGUCACAAAAACCAGAAUGUCACAUCCUGUCUGAACUGCAACAAACUGUUGCUCGACUGGAACCUUCAUUAACUAAGAAUGUCUUUUGGCCUAAACUCUUCUUACCAGCUAUAUUUCUGGAAGACCGAAAUGACGGCACUAGUUGCCCGAUCGGGGAGAGCUUGUAUUGGCAUGAAUUUCGUUUGAGCACCGUGUGACAGAAGCAGUUUCUGUUAAAUGAUGCAGAAUAAUAGAUGGCUGCUCUGGUAGAGUCCCAGUGGCUGCGAAGGUUGUGGCAUAAUUAGGUUAUUGCAUACAAAGAAGCUGACAGCUGUACAUGUCCUACAACAGUUAUAUGAAGUCGUCAAACCAGACGUCACAAGUGAAGGUAUGGUCAAGCAAUGGCACAGGCAGUUAACAGCAGGCUGAUCGAAAGUGAACGGUUAAAAUUGCACUGGCUGCAGCCAUCACUUGUUAUGGUGGAACCAACGGAAAGUGUGUUGUUACAUCUCAACACGGCAAAUGGCAUUCCUUAGUGUUUCCCACAAGGCACCCAUCCAGACACUGACGCAGAACCCUGACACUGGCUGUUGACGGGUCAACAAAGGAGCUUUCCUCAAGGUGACAACGACUACCGGAUUCUGUAGACGUAACAACCGCGAAGGGUCACUGCAAGCUGACCGUCACUGAGAGCUCACUAAUUGAUGAAAGGGGCCAACAUCGAGGACUACUGUGGAAACUGUGUCAACUUGAGUUUCCCAGAUUUCCACGUGGUUGCCUCAUGUGUGGUGGCGAUUGUGCAACAUUGUAGGCAGAGUCCGGCAGAACGGUGCGACAUCAGGGCAGGGAUAUUGUGAACAAUUUGACGAUCAUGAUUGGCCGAGAAACAGUCGUUGGAUUCCCCAAUCUAGUCUUCUAGAGUAAACGGCUGUUUUAAAAAGCAGACACCUUUGGUGCAGGGAGGCUGAUGUCUCCUGAUGUGAGCUCAGACAUAGAAUGUGCUCCUACGUGGAGUGGGCUUCCAUAUAUGGAGCCAGUGCAAAAUAUGUGAAAUAAACUUUCUUUCCUUUGCUCCUA